GGUUGACGGUACCGGGUGAGGAAGCACCGGCUAACUCCGUGCCAGCAGCCGCGGUAAUACGGAGGGUGCAAGCGUUGUCCGGAAUCACUGGGCGUAAAGGGCGCGUAGGCGGCUCAUGAAGGCUGUGGUGAAAGUCCGGGGCUCAACCUCGGAUCGGCCGUGGCGACUCGUGGGCUGGAGCACUGUAGAGGCGGGUGGAAUUCCGGGUGUAGCGGUGGAAUGCGUAGAGAUCCGGAAGAACACCAGUGGCGAAGGCGGCCCGCUGGGCAGUGGCUGACGCUGAAGCGCGACAGCGUGGGGAGCAAACAGGAUUAGAUACCCUGGUAGUCCACGCCGUAAACGAUGGGCACUAGGUGCUUGGGGGAGCGACCCUCUGAGUGCCGGCGCUAACGCAUUAAGUGCCCCGCCUGGGGAGUACGGCCGCAAGGCUGAAACUCAAAUGAAUUGACGGA
rnacentral:rRNA from 1 species